AGUGGAAUUGCUGGGUUAUAUGGUAAGUCUAUAUUUAACUUUUUGAGGAACUGCUAAAGUAUUUCCCACGGUGGCUGCUCCAUUUUACAUUCCUACCAGCAAU
rnacentral:pre_miRNA from 1 species